rnacentral:rRNA from 1 species
GAUGAACGCUGGCGGCGUGCCUAAUACAUGCAAGUCGAGCGGACAGACGAGGCGCUUGUUCCUCUCACGUUAGCGGCACACGGGUGUGUAACACGUGGAUCGCCUCCCUAUCAGUCUGGGAUCACUUCGGGAAACCGGAGCUAAUACCGGAUAAUAUCUUGAACCGCAUGGUUCAAUAGUGAAAGACGGCUUUGCUGGCUCUACUCGAUGGUUCCGGGCCGCAUUAGCUAGUUGGUAAGGUAACGGCUUAUCAAGGCAACGAUGCGUAGCCGACGUGACAGGGUGAUCGGCCACCCGGGAACUGGGACACGGUCAAGGCUACUACGGGACGCAGCAGUAGGGAACGGGCGGCAGUGGGCGGAAGCCUGGCGGAGCAAGGCGGCGUGAGUGACGAAGGUCUUCGGAUCGUAAAACCCUCUUAUGAGGGAAGAACAAAUUUGUAAGGAAAUAUGCACGGCUUGACGGUAAUUAAUAAGAAAGCAACGGCUAACUACGUG